rnacentral:rRNA from 1 species
UACGGGGGGUCCUAGCGUUGUUCGGAAUCACUGGGCGUAAAGCGUUUGUAGGUGGCUUUGUAAGUUGAAUGUGAAAGCCCAGGGCCUAACCCUGGAAGUGCAUUCAAUACUGCAAAGCUUGAGUAUGGGAGAGGAUGAUGGAAUUCCUGGUGUAGUGGUGAAAUACGUAGAUAUCAGGAGGAACAUCGGUGGCGAAAGCGGUCAUCUGGCCUAAUACUGACACUGAAAAACGAAAGCGUGGGGAUCAAACAGG